rnacentral:rRNA from 1 species
UACGUAGGGGGCAAGCGUUGUCCGGAUUUAUUGGGCGUAAAGAGCGUGUAGGCGGCCAGGUAGGUCCGUUGUGAAAACUCGAGGCUCAACCUCGAGACGCCGAUGGAAACCAUCUGGCUAGAGUCCGGAAGAGGAGAGUGGAAUUCCCGGUGUAGCGGUGAAAUGCGCGGAUAUCGGGAAGAACACCCGUGGCUAAGGCGGCUCUCUAGUACGGUACUGACGCUGAGACGCGAAAGCGUGGGGAGCGAACAGG